UAGCCUAGUAGUUAAGGCUAUGGAUCGCCAAUCCGGAGACCGCGGGUUCCAUUCCCGU
rnacentral:tRNA from 1 species